UUUGUGGGCCGCAGCGACGGCGGUCUGCGGCUGUCGGUUCUGUUUGUUGCUGUCACUGCUGUUUGUUCUUGCCAGCGGCUAGGGUCUGGCUGUUUUGCCCAGAAUGGAGUGCAGUGGCGUGAUGGUCUCGGCUGACAGCAGCCUCGACCUCCUGGGCUCAAGCCUUGGCCUCCCAAAGUGCUGGGAUUACAGCCACCAUCCUGUGAGGAAGCCCAGAGCACAUGAAGAGACCACCUGCACAUGUUCAGAUCCACUGCCCCAGCUAAGAUCUCCGCUGACAGCCAGACCAAUCACCAAUCUUAGGAGCUGGCGAGCCUUCAGAUGGUCCAACCUUUGAGGCCCCCCAGAGGAGCCAGGUGGAGCAUAGAUGAGCCAUCCAUGUGGAUCCCUCCACCAAAUGGAAGAUUUAGGAGCAAAAUAAACAAUGUUGUCAUUGCUUUCACCCACGAAAUUGUUGAAUAAUUUGUUUUGCUGCUUAAGUAGCUGGAACACUGUGUUACCGAGGGAAGAGCAACAACCAACAGGAGAGAAUAGUCAGUUAAGUAAGAGAUUUUUGACCCUCUCCCUAUCCGUCCACUUUGCUCAACACAACAGAGAAGCCACAGCUUCCAAUAGGAAAAUAGAGAGGGAAGGUGUCUCCAACAGUCAGAUCACUCACUCCUGCCACCCCAGGGAGAGGGAAGGGGAGGAGGAAAAGCAUAGAUGAAAGUACCCUUCCCACAGCAGGUUCCCCAGCCACAGCCCUAGCCGACAGUAAAGAAAACUCAG
rnacentral:lncRNA from 10 species